UGUUGAACUGGCGAACUUAUUCUCAGUGUCAAGUGCAAUUAGGUGCAGAUAAGUGCUGCACCGUUCAAGGCGCUACUUCCGAACGAACCGCAUGAGAUUAAUCGGAGAGCAUUUCUGCACGCCAGGAAAAGUCUAGAUAGCCUCAGCUGCAUACAGUCCAACUCGCUGAACGUAAUACGGGACGUCGUUGUAGGAUACAAUACGAUAUAUAUGGCAAGGCGGCGGAUCAUUUGGCUAAAACAGGACUCGCUUCUCUUCGCAGAUACUCCAAGCAAGCAGGUAGGAUCAGAACGUGCCCGGUGGGUCGUGCACCAUCUUUCUUUGUGUCACGUGCACAGAGACAGCCAUAGCUCCGUAUGCCCCCGACAUCGUCGCUGCCACCGCUGUGUUACCCACCGCCGUCACAGCAAUCGUGAUUACGUGCGUGAGCAUGUCGGGGCCACGUCAUCUAUGACCAUGGCCAAGGGAGAGGAUCAGAGAGUAAAAACUACGAUGCUGUCAAUAGAGGGCCAGACAGUCGCUUGACGACGGCUCUUCUGCAAAGCGAAACGCAGCGGGAAAGCAGACGGUUGGAACAAGUUGCCGCUGAAGAAGCAUCAACAGCAGCAGCGAAAUCAACAGCAGUACAAAGAUCCGAAACAGGAGAACAGUGAGUGGGCGAGCUUUUGACUUAUGUGCCACUUCAAGCUUGUCGGCAGAAUUUGAGGAGAACGAAUGGGGAAACGGGGAAGGGCGGUGUCGGUCUUCCGGCGGAAUACUGUUUAUCAGACGCGCAGCAUUCAACUGUAAUAGACGUAAGGUGCUCAUUAUCCUUCUGGCUUGUUGAACCAUCCUGCUUGCACUUUGGCAGCUGUUAGAGAGCACAUCCAUUUGCUAUAUUCAUGACAUCUAGCUCGUUGCUGACGCGAGUAAACCGAGUGGGAAGCUGGCUGUUCCCCUGUGAUAACAACGGUAAACACGAAUAAAGGCGUGCAGCAAAAUGAGCAAGUUCGAAGCAGAAGGGAAUGGCUUAGCGUUUCGAGUAACACCGGCCAUCAGGUAUCAGCAUUCAAAAUCUAGACGAAAUGUUACGGUGCGUACGUUGUGUAGCCGGUGAAAACGCCACAGAUAACGUCAGUCGUACACACCCUUGAAAAAUGACUAACAAAAUGGGUUUGCGCUUAUCGGUUAAAUAGAUAGUAUAAAUCUCGACUAUUGCUGUGUUUUAGGAU